UACAGAGGGUGCGAGCGUUAAUCGGAAUUACUGGGCGUAAAGCGCGCGUAGGCGGCUUUGCAAGUCGGGUGUGAAAUCCCCAGGCUUAACCUGGGGAACUGCAUUCGAGACUGCAUUGCUAGAGUAUGGGAGAGGGAAGUGGAAUUUCCGGUGUAGCGGUGAAAUGCGUAGAUAUCGGAAGGAACAUCAGUGGCGAAAGCGACUUCCUGGACCAAUACUGACGUCAUGAUGCGAAAGCGUGGGGAGCAAACAGG
rnacentral:rRNA from 1 species